CCACUGAUGCAACACACCUGAAAGGAUACCGAAAGGUUGACUUGUCUGAUUUGUCACCUUCACUCUUACAUCAAGGCAAAUGCUGUGAUAUUGAUUUACUCCACUGGAUGAAGCAAAAUGAAAACAGCAGUGCUGAUACUGAGUGAAACAGCUGAGGCACCAGAUUUAAAGGGCAUUUCAUUAAACCUUGAGAGGUUCAGGAGGUUGAUAAACCCGGCAGGAUGGUGAAGAAGUCUCAGGAGACAAAUUCAGCUGGAGAAGAUCCAUCUGGCUCUUGCUAAUUAGCAGUUUUUCAAGGUUGAUGGACCCACUGUAUCCUGAAGUGAAGGGCAGUGCUCCCCAGAUGGCAGAGGCUCUGUCAGAACGCUGUUGUGUGUCGCCUCCAUCACCGAUUUCCAAUACUCCAUAUCCAAAUCAAGUGAAGCGGAAACCACAAGAUUUUCUGACUUGGCGCCAAAAGAAAGAGACAACCUGGUGAGACUGGCUUGGCGAUAGAGCUGCAGUCAAUAAUACGUGGCUAUGCAAAAGCCUGGAAAGGAGAGCUGGCAACGCAGCCAGCUUAGCCAACAGAUGGAGGGAGCCAGGUUGUUUGGGUGGCCAGUAUAUCAGCACUUUCCCCCUGGUAUAGCUUAGCCAUUGUGUAUUCAAGGGAGUACACUCCCACUUCUGGUAGAUUCAGACUGCCAUCUUACCCUGUGCACAGUGUUCCUGGAUCCCAAAGAUAUUUUAUUCCCUUCAUCAUGCUCUCUGCACCUCUCACCUUUUUCAUUGGCCUUGUCGUCUUCUAAUAUUCUGUCUCAUCCCUUAUUGCAGUUUACCUUGCUUUUAUUAUAAAAAUCUUAUUACUACCUUAUCAUAAGCUCUUGCAAAACUCCUCAAUUAUCCUCCCAUUUAUUCAGCUCUUUGUUACUGCCACUGGGCAUGUAAGGUAUUUGUGUGUGCAUAUCUGGAGGUGUAAACACCCUUGGCGUGAGAGAUAUUGGACCAUAUCUCAACAUUAAAAAGCUCUCAACGCAAUAAACAAAGCACCCAAAUACACACAGAUCAUUAUCAACAGAUUUAUUUGCCGUUAUUGUAU